GACGAACGCUGGCGGCGUGCCUAAUACAUGCAAGUCGAACGCUUCUUUCCUCCCGAGUGCUUGCACUCAAUUGGAAAGAGGAGUGGCGGACGGGUGAGUAACACGUGGGUAACCUACCCAUCAGAGGGGGAUAACACUUGGAAACAGGUGCUAAUACCGCAUAACAGUUUAUGCCGCAUGGCAUAAGAGUGAAAGGCGCUUUCGGGUGUCGCUGAUGGAUGGACCCGCGGUGCAUUAGCUAGGUGGUGAGGUAACGGCUCACCAAGGCCACGAUGCAUAGCCGACCCGAGAGGGUGAUCGGCCACACUGGGUCUGAGACACGGCCCAGACUCCUACGGGAGGCCGCAGUAGGGAAUCUUCGGCAAUGGACGAAAGUCUGACCGAGCAACGCCGCGUGAGUGAAGAAGGUUUUCGGAUCGUAGAACUCUGUUGUUAGAGAAGAACAAGGACGUUAGUAACUGAACGUCCCCUGACGGUAUCUAACCAGAAAGCCACGGCUAACUACGUG
rnacentral:rRNA from 1 species